rnacentral:miRNA from 1 species
CCUAAUCCAGAAUGAGGGUG